CAGGCCCGCCUAUUCAG
rnacentral:tRNA from 1 species